GCCAGCGUAGCUCAGCUGGCUAGAGCAGCUGAUUUGUAAUCAGCAGGUCGUGGGUUCGAGUCCCUCCGCCGGCUCUA
rnacentral:tRNA from 1 species